rnacentral:lncRNA from 1 species
GUUUUAUCCUUGCACAAUUCUGAGUAAAUGAGCCACGUGCCAGGUUGAUAUUCCUUAUUAGUCAUCUUUCUGUCACAGGACAGUGCUAACUCUACUCUGUUUCUCCUUUCAGUGUAUUUCUUCUGCCUUCCAAAAUCUUCAGGGAGAUUGUGUCUCGCAUAUCACUACCUAUGGGACUCACCUCAUCCCGUUGCUGGCAGCAGUUAUGGUAGAUCGACUAUUCUGCUCACAUUUUCAAAUAACUACUUGUGAAAAUGUUCUGCAUUAAAAAUGAGUUGUUUCAUACUGU